rnacentral:misc_RNA from 1 species
GGAAGGAUCAUUGCUGAUGCCGGCGGUCGGUCGAGCCCUCGAGAGGGGGUGAGGCCGCCGCUUCCAACAUCAUCUGCCCCUUUGUGAACCUGGCACCGGAGCGCCGAACGAGAGCGAGCUUUGGGGCCCGCACUCUUUCCCUUCCCCUCACGGGGAAAAGGAUAGGCUUCCUCUGCCCAACAACCUGUCUUUUAUUGCCUGUCUCCCCAGACUGAAGCAAAAAAAACAAAAUAUUACUUACAACUUUUAACAAUGGAUAUCUUGGCUCGCGCAUCGAUGAAGAACGCAGCGAAAUGCGAUAAGUAGUGUGAAUUGCAGAUCUCGUGAAUCAUCGAAGUUUUGAACGCAAGUUGCGGUGUUCGGUUUUCCGGGCACCAUGCCUGCUUGAGUGUCUGUAACCAAAAUCGAGCCCAAGGCCUCUUUUCACAAGAAGGGGGCUCUUGGUGUUUCGGAACUGGACGUCUUAUCCGUGUGAAGGUGCGGGUGUGAACUCGCGUCCUACGGCACGGUCGUCUCAAGUACAGCACUAAGCCUGCUCUUUGGUCACGCUUGUGCAUCACGCAGUUGAGCGAACCAAAACAUGACGCGGUAAGGAUACGGCCCUUUGUGACCAACUCCUCGAACGUCAUGCUGCUCUCCUGUCUUCGUGGUCAUGCAACGUGGCAUUUCGUCCCUACGAUCCUUUGGGAGAGGACCCUGGUCGCCCCUUCGCGGGGGAGUCCAGGAGUUGAGGGAUGAGGAGCGAUUACGGCGCAAGCAAACAGCUUCCAAAAGGACGCCCCUCGCGGGCGGCCCCGAAAGAAGCGACCCCUAACAUCUGACCUCAAGUCAGGCAAGAGGACCCGCUGGAUUUAAGCAUAUAACUAAGCGGAGGAAAAGAAACUAACAAGGAUUCCCUCAGUAACGGCGAGUGAAGCUGGAAAAGCUCAAAUUUUAAAUCUCUCCGCCACGCGGAGCGAAUUGUAAUCUAAAGGAUCCAUGGUUGGGUCGCGCGCCGUACAAGUCUCCCAGGAACGGAGCGUCAUAGAGGGUGAGAACCCCGUCCAUGACGGCGAUGCGAUCCUCUACACCAGGUUUCCGACGAGUCGGGUUGCUUGGGAAUGCAGCUCUAAGCGGGAGGUAAACUUCUUCUAAAGCUAAAUAACGGCGCGAGACCGAUAGCGAACAAGUACCGUGAGGGAAAGAUGAAAAGAACUUUGAAAAGAGAGUUAAAAAGUGCUUGAAAUUGUUAAAAGGGAAGCGAUUCGGACCAGUGAUGUGGGCUCGAGAAUCAGAACUCGCGGCGGUUCUCCGGGGGUUGGUGGCACCGCAAGGGCCUCUCCCUUCGAAGGGCAGCCAGGGAACACACUUCUCGGGCACGCAGGUCAGCAUCGUUUAGGCCGGGUGGGAAAAAGGCUAAGGAGAGGUAGUCUGGAGGGCAACCUUUUCGGACGAGCUCCUGGCUCCUACCGCCUGCUUGAACGAGGCCCGCGACGGGGAACGACGCGCUUCCUUCUUCGGAAGGACGAGGUAAUCGGCAAGGUCACAAGCUUCGGCGGGGUGGACAGCAUGCUGUGCUCUCCCGUUAUGUACGAGGUGAGUCGCCUACCGAACCUCAGCGCGCCAUGAUGCCGACGAAAUGGUUCCAAUCGACCCGUCUUGAAACACGGACCAAGGAGUCUAACAGAUGUGCGAGUGGUCGGGUGACAAACCCGAACGCGUAAUGAAAGUGAAGGUGGCCGGUAGGCCAUCGAGGUGGGAUCCCCCUAAAAAGGGUGCACCAUCGACCGAUCUGGAUUCUUUUGAAAGAUUUGAGUAAGAGCACAUCUGCUGGGACCCGAAAGAUGGUGAACUAUGCCUGGGUAGGGUGAAGCCAGAGGAAACUCUGGUGGAAGCUCGUAGCGAUUCUGACGUGCAAAUCGAUCGUCAAAUUUGGGCAUAGGGGCGAAAGACUAAUCGAACCAUCUAGUAGCUGGUUCCUUC